GUUUCUUUUGACAAGUGGCUCCUGAUUGUGCCCAGCCAGACUGCGGCAUUGUGUGAUUUUUUGCGCUUUCUUAGUUUAAUGUUGCAGCCAGCUCUUUUAAACCAGUUCACCCUGUCUGCACAGGUCGUUGGCGAGACAGCCUAUAUUUUGGCCUUUUUUUCUUAACCCCUGCUGGUUGUCUGGGAGUGGGGGCGGUAACAGGGAUGGAACUCAGGGGCACUUGACCACUGAGCCACAUCCCCAGCCCUAUUUUGUAUUUUAUUUAGAAACAGGGUUUCACUGAGUUGCUUAGGGACUUGCUAAAUUGCUGAGGCUGGCUUUAAACUUGUGAUCCUCCUGCCUCAGCCUCCCUAACCCUGGGAUUACAGGCAUGUGCUACCAUGCCCAGCUAUUUUGGCCUUUUUAAAAACUAUGGUAGCCAGUGUGGUGGCACACAUUUGUAAUCCCAGCUACUUGGGAGGCUGAGACAGAAGGUUCACAAGUUUGAGGCCAGCCUAAGUAACUUAGUGAAACUGUCUCAAAAAACAAACAAACAAACAUUCAGGGGCUGGGGUUGUGGCUCAGAGGCAGAGUGCUUGCCUCACAUGUGCAAGGCCCUGGGUUCGAUCCUCAGCACCGCAUAAAAAUAAAUAAAUAAUAUAAGUAUAUUGUGUCC
rnacentral:lncRNA from 1 species